rnacentral:rRNA from 1 species
UACGUAGGGUGCGAGCGUUGUCCGGAAUUAUUGGGCGUAAAGGGCUCGUAGGCGGUUUGUCGCGUCGGGAGUGAAAACCCAGGGCUUAACCCUGGGCUGGCUUCCGAUACGGGCAGACUAGAGGUAUGCAGGGGAGAACGGAAUUCCUGGUGUAGCGGUGAAAUGCGCAGAUAUCAGGAGGAACACCGGUGGCGAAGGCGGUUCUCUGGGCCUGUACUGACGCUGAGGAACGAAAGCGUGGGGAGCGAACAGG